rnacentral:lncRNA from 1 species
AUGCAGGUGCAGGGUGGAGGUGUUGGACAAAGGAGGAGGAGGAGGGCUGGCAGAAGAGGUGUUUCACUGCCCCCUGAAAUUACAGGGCUCAUGAUGAGAGACAGCUCCUGGCUCAGGUCUCAGUCCCUGGAUAGGAGAAGGCUGGUGAGUAACAAGUUUGGGAUUGAGGGGCUGUCCUGUGGUGUGGACAGGGUCACUUACUACUGGAAAAACUUUUUUUUCCCCCCUGAAGUCAGUGAAGGCUUUCCAGUGCCAGAAGAGAAUCACAAGAGAAGAGAAAUGUUGUGUUUGUCCCUCCCCAGUGAUGGCUGCAGGAGAGCAGAGGAUCCAGUAGAGAAGAGGACACUCUGAUUCUGGAGAGGCAGCAGACAUUUGAGAAGGCUGAACUGAAGUGCAAACUGACCAAUAUAUUAAAGCAGCAGAAGCUGCAGGGGAGCCAAAUUCCUACAGAAGUGAAGACAUAAGAG